rnacentral:tRNA from 1 species
GUAUUGGCGGCUCAUUGGCAGAACUCAUGCCUCCCAUGCAGGAGACCUAGGUUCGAUUCCUAGCCAGCUCA